rnacentral:rRNA from 1 species
GAUGAACGCUGGCGGCGUGCCUAAUACAUGCAAGUCGAGCGAACGGACGAGAAGCUUGCUUCUCUGAUGUUAGCGGCGGACGGGUGAGUAACACGUGGAUAACCUACCUAUAAGACUGGGAUAACUUCGGGAAACCGUAGCUAAUACCGGAUAAUAUUUUGAACCGCAUGGUUCAAAAGUGAAAGACGGUCGUGCUGUCACUUAUAGAUGGAUCCGCGCUGCAUUAGCUAGUUGGUAAGGUAACGGCUUACCAAGGCAACGAUGCAUAGCCGACCUGAGAGGGUGAUCGGCCACACUGGAACUGAGACACGGUCCAGACUCCUACGGGAGGCAGCAGUAGGGAAUCUUCCGCAAUGGGCGAAAGCCUGACGGAGCAACGCCGCGUGAGUGAUGAAGGUCCUCGGAUCGUAAAACUCUGUUAUUAGGGAAGAACAUAUGUGUAAGUAACUGUGCACAUCUUGACGGUACCUAAUCAGAAAGCCACGGCUAACUACGUG